UGGUAAUGAUGGCAGAGAGGUCACACCCGUUCCCAUACCGAACACGGAAGUUAAGCUCUCUAGCGCCGAUGGUAGUUGGGACCUUGUCCCUGUGAGAGUAGGACGUUGCCAGGCU
rnacentral:rRNA from 99 species